AUUGAACGCUGGCGGCAGGCCUAACACAUGCGAGUCGAGCGGAUGAAGGGAGCUUGCUCCUGGAUUCAGCGGCGGACGGGUGAGUAAUGCCUAGGAAUCUGCCUGGUAGUGGGGGAUAACGUCCGGAAACGGGCGCUAAUACCGCAUACGUCCUGAGGGAGAAAGUGGGGGAUCUUCGGACCUCACGCUAUCAGAUGAGCCUAGGUCGGAUUAGCUAGUUGGUGGGGUAAAGGCCUACCAAGGCGACGAUCCGUAACUGGUCUGAGAGGAUGAUCAGUCACACUGGAACUGAGACACGGUCCAGACUCCUACGGGAGGCAGCAGUGGGGAGUAUUGGACAAUGGGCGAAAGCCUGAUCCAGCCAUGCCGCGUGUGUGAAGAAGGUCUUCGGAUUGUAAAGCACUUUAAGUUGGGAGGAAGGGCAGUAAGUUAAUACCUUGCUGUUUUGACGUUACCAACAGAAUAAGCACCGGCUAACUUCGUG
rnacentral:rRNA from 1 species